rnacentral:rRNA from 1 species
UACGUAGGGGGCGAGCGUUGUCCGGAAUUAUUGGGCGUAAAGAGCGUGUAGGCGGUUCGGUAAGUCUGCCGUGAAAACCCAGGGCUCAACCCUGGGCGUGCGGUGGAUACUGCCGGGCUAGAUGGUGGUAGAGGCGAGUGGAAUUCCCGGUGUAGCGGUGAAAUGCGCAGAUAUCGGGAGGAACACCAGUAGCGAAGGCGGCUCGCUGGGCCACACCUGACGCUGAGACGCGAAAGCGUGGGGAGCAAACAGG